UUUAAUUGUUAAUAUUUAUUUUUAGGCAUUCGUCCACAUUCAAGUCUAUUGAAGAACUUGUUGGCAGUGUGAAGGAUAAAGUGACUGGCGGCGCGUCAAACAGCGAAGAGGCGUCUGGAUUUGAAAGAAGAUCCUCGCGCAACCAAACCUGAGAUGAAUCGAUUUUAUGCAAAUCACUAAAAUUUUGCAAAGUUAAAUGAAUGAGUGAAUUCUCUCCCUCAUCAAUAUGUAUGUCUGUUUUUUUCCAGUUUCUUUGUUGAUGCAGAUUAAGAAAUUGAAUGUACAAUACUAGUUGUGUAAGUAAAUAAUUAAGAUGUAUUUAAACCUUUGAAUGUUUCAUAACGUGAURAAAUCUGUUCAUUUUAAURUGCUGGUUGUUUUUGACAUGCCUGUAUCUCCAUAUUCUGAAAUCAGAUGUACUACGAGGUAUUUUUGUAAUGUCAGAUUUUUCAAGUAAAGUCUUUAGAAUACA